rnacentral:rRNA from 1 species
UCCCUCAGUAGCGGCGAGCGAACCGGGAAGAGUCCAGCGCCGAAUCCGAGCGUAGGGCAAGACGCUCGGAAAUGUGGCGUACGAGAGGCCGCGUGCCGUCGACACUGUGUUCCCCGGAGCAAGUCCCCUUGAUCGGGGCAAGCUCUACGGAGCGGACCAGAGCGGGUGCAAGUCCCGUGGCCCGGGGAAACGUCGACGGAUAGCGGAAAGCAGAACCCUCUCGCGAGUCGGGUUGCUUGAGAGUGCAGCCCUAAGACAGGUGGUAAACUCCAUCUAAGACUAAACACGACCUCGAAACCGAUAGCGAACAAGUACCGUGAGGGAAAGUUGCAAAGAACUUUGAAGAGAGAGUUCAAGAGUACGUGAAACUGCUCAGAGGAAAACGGGUGGGCGUUCGAAGCCCCCGUCGGCAGUCAAUAACUGUCGGAUUCAGUAUCUCCCUUGCUCGCUGUCUUCCACGGUGAUUCUCGUGCGACGCUAUCCGAGUGCGCGGAUCAAUUCCGCGUUGCGAAGUGUGCGGGCGUGCGGGGAAACAGACGUGGACGCACGAGCGAGUCUGCGGAGUACGCAUUUCCGAACUUUGUCGGCUGCCGAUAAGAAGGGCGCCGCGAUCGAUCGGACACCAAAAGAGUGCCGUCCGUUGGUCGGGUAAGUGCGGUUUUGGGAUUCCUGCUCUCCUCCUUCGCGGGAGGGGUCAGUCGUUUCCCCCGACUACCUCGGCACACCAAACAACGGUUCGGUCGUCCGAUCGGUAGUGACACUGCGGCAGAGGUGCUGCCCUCUCAUCCUUUAUACGUGGUGGAGGGCAGAGUUGCUGCCGUCGCGGCGAGAGUGUCGGUGUCCCACCCNNNNNNNNNNNNNNNNNNGACCAAGGAGUCUUACUCGUGCGCGAGUCGCAGGGUCUUGCACAGGCCCCGUGGCGGAGCGAAAGCGAAUUUUUGAAAAGCCGAGAUUUCCGAGCAUUUGAAAAAGUCGAAGGAAAGCAUCGGCGGCCCGGCGGUGAAAAUCGUAACGCUUCGGCGUUUCGAUUUCGUCGGAGUUUGAGCGCACGAGUAGGUACCCGAAAGAUGGUGAACUAUGCCCGGCCAGGGCGAAGCCGGAGGAAACUCCGGUGGAGGCUCGAAGCGGUUCUGACGUGCAAAUCGAUCGUCGGAGCGAGGUAUAGGGGCGGAAGACCAAUCGAACCAUCUAGUAGCUGGUUCCCUCCGAAGUUUCCCUCAGGAUAGCUGGCAUUCUUGAAAACUCAGUCUCUCCCCGUAGAGAGAAUGAAUAGAGGCCCUGGGGCCCUAGACGACCUCAACCUAUUAUCAAACUACUACGAGGUGCGUCGGUCGUUCCUGCCGAUUUCUAUCGAGCAGAGGAACGGCGAAGGAGAUGAAGGAGUGCCGUGUGGGCCAUUUUUG